GUGAAGCCAGAACGUCAGAGCAAGGGAACUGCCAGACAAAGCAAAGAAAAUGAAGAUUUCUGUCUUGGGAAUUGAACCUUCAAUGUCUUAUUGUAUAAGGCCUGUGUGCACAGUCUGAGGAUCUGAUGAAAGCCAAACGACCAAAAUCCAGGAAGAGUGCUCAGUUCGUGGAUUUUCUCAUUUGCUUUCGUAGAUAUGAGAGAUUGUGUUGCUCAGGUGUUCAAGCUGGCACUGAGUGUAACCCCCAUGGUGGCAAGCUCCCCUGCUCCUUUCAGGUGUUUUGCUGGUGGGAUCAUCCAUGUUGCAGGAGACUCUCUGAGCCCCAGCAAGAGCACCUAGGACACAUGGAGUGGAAAGACCCUUUGAAGAACAGAGGAGCAGCUGGGCUACUGAGAGCUUUUGCCUGUCAAUGAAAUUAAGUUCUUGCCUUUUUCUUUAUACAGUUCCCAAAUACCUGUUUUCUAAACUGAUGUUUCCUCAAGUAAUAAAAAAUCCCACUGGAAAAUAAAAAGGUAAAAC
rnacentral:lncRNA from 1 species